AGGUGUAUAGCUCAGUGGUAGAGCAUUCGACUGCAGAUCGGGAAUUCCCCGGUUCAAACCCGGGUGUCCCCU
rnacentral:tRNA from 1 species